rnacentral:lncRNA from 1 species
GAUUGAACGAAACAAAAACCAACAGCAACAACAAAAAUAAGCGUUUUAUUAUUAUUGUUGUUGCCGUGCCAUUAGUAGCAGUGGUGGUGGUGGUGAUGUUGGUGGUAGUGGUGUAAAGUCAAGCAGUAAGGGUCUUAACAUUUGAUGCAUUACCACCAGCCAGGGAGCUCCAAAACCAAUAAUACCGGCCAACAAAAAGAAUGCUGUAAAUCUCAUGGGAUUAUCCAGGGAUUUGCGAAAAGAACAACCUACACAGCCGGGAACACCACCUUUAUAGAAACGUCUAGGAGUAGUCGUUUUAUUUAAUAAAACUACAGUUGUAGUUUUUGCCAAUUGUUUUGAAAUGGACAACAUUUUUGUUUUUAAUGCAAAAUUAAAUUAUUUGAAUGAUAUUGAAACAAAAAUUUUUAGCGUUUGAAAUAAAAUUUUAAUUUUGAAGAAUAUUUCUGUCAAAUGUUGAUUAAGUACAAGGUUUUUCAGUUAAAGUAGGUUUUAAAAGAGAUAAUUAACGGUUCGUCAAGUACUGUUUGUAUGUAAUAACAGCGUAUUUUUCCAUAGUCUGGCACUGAAUACGGACUGUUGUUGUAACAGGUUGGCUGUAACUGGAUGUUCUUCUCUGGGAAAAAAAAACUUCCGAUACGUUGAUACAGCUGUUGCUGAGUUGACAAUCUUUGGCCGAUUGAGAAUCGGCUCGUUCCGGAGCGGAGAUCCAACUGUACGGACUGUAGUUUGGUCUGGAGUAUAGACUUAAUUAGUGAUAGAGAGUAUAGUUUAUAGUUAAGUCUAAAAUAUAGAAUUUUGUCUGAUCUAUAGUAUAGACAAUUGUCUGGCCAAGAAUACAGUAUAUUGUCCGGACUUAAGUUAGAAUAUCUGGUCCAAGGUAUAGAUUUAGUGUCGUUUAGGGAGUCUAAAGUAUAUACCAUAGUUUGGUACUGAGUAUAGAAUAUAAUCGGGUGCUGAGUUUAUACUAUAGUCUGGUCCUGAAUAUAGACUUUAGUUUGGUCCAGAAUAUAGACUAUAAUCUGAUACUGAGAGUAGACUACGGACUGGUAUAGUGAGGUCCAGAGUAUAAACUGUCUAUUAACUAUAUAUAAUGUUUAAAUCACAGACUGGUCUAGAAUAUAUACUACUAACUCGGUCAUAGUAAACAACAUAGUAUUAUGAUUCAGAUUGGUAAAUAUAGACUAGAAUCUAGACUUAAUCGUAAUGCGGUCCUGAGUAUAUAAUAUAAGCUGGUGCAGAGUAUCGAUUACAAAUUGGUUCGCAGUAUCGACUACUGUCUUGUCUAGACUUUAGACAACAAACUAGUCCAGAGUAUACUAUCUGUUCGUUCCCAUGGCAAUAGGAUCUUCGCUCCGGAACGACCCGAAUCAUACUCGGCCAAAGAUUGUCAAACCAGCGACAGCUGUAUCAACCGAAAGUUUUUUCCCCAGGAAAGAACUAUCGGCCACAGUCGAGCUGUUACAUCAGCAACAACAACACUAUCUGUUUAGAGUAUAGACUACUGUCUGAUGCAAAGUUUAAACUAAAGUUUAAAGAUUUCAAUAAAACACUAUAAAUUUUGGUUAUUUUUUAUAUUUGCGAAUACAUUUUAUCUUACAAUAGAUCGCACAUAUAAUUUAAACGCCACAGGUCUUGGGCAUCACAUGUAUCGACAACUUGAUAACUUAAAAGCAAAGACGAAUUAAUCUGUAAAAGGAAAAUAAUAAAAUUUAUUAGUUUGUUUUGCAAAUAAUAUAAACUUUUCAUAAGAAAUGCAUCAAUACACAACUUAUUAUCAGUUUUAAACAGUUUAAAUAGAAAAUUUCAUUUUAAUUAUUAAGUCGAACUCAAUCCUCAGUCUAUAGACUAUAGGUAGUAGCUGGUGGAAUAUUAGUUUCAAAUGUCCUUGGUUUAUUAAAAAUUUUUAAGCAAAUGUCUGUCCAAAAGUGUCCCUUUUAAAGUUUUGAUUAAUCGAUAUUUUGCUGUUGAGUUGAAUAAUGCAUUAUAGAGGAAUUAUUCCUCAUACAGGCACAGUCAGUUAUUGACUACAUGAAGUAAAUUGCAUUUAAUUAUUUUAAACAUAAUUUGCUAAAUUCCAAAACUUCACAAAACUAACACUUUAGCCAAAUUUUCAUUAAGAAAAUUCCAUUAUAUUCAUAUUGUUUUAUUUUUCACUUCUUCGAUUCAAUACUAACCUAACAUUUUCAUUUUACUUCUUAAGCAAUUGAUGUCUAACAAUCAAGAAGGGAGAACCGAAGCCCAAAACGGUGAAGGUAGUGAAAACAGCAGUGAUCCUAUAACGGUUCUUCAAGCUGAAGGGCAAAUUCUAGAAAAAGGGAAAACAAAAAACAAAUUCACAUUAAAAUAAAAUUUACAGCAAUAAUCCAAAGAGAAAAAAAAAUUAUGUAAUCAUAUGGCUUUUUAUGUACAAUUCAUAAAAUCUUUAAAAUACGAUAAAAAAUUACCUCGCCGGGAAUGCCACCAUGGCUGUGGAAUCUAACCAUAGCCUUGGAAAGGUUGCUAACAGCCAACAAAUUGUUACGGUUCAACAUUUUUUCACUUAGAAUUUCACUAUCUCCUCCAAAUGGCCAAGAGUAAAACGAUGGAUUUUCUUUUUUUUUUUGAUGCACGGGCAAAAAACGAACUUGUACAAGAGACACAAAAGAAAAUGUCAAAAAUAACUUCGAUUCGAAUAUAUGGACAGGGUAUGUUUACUGUGAGACUAGAGCAGGGUUGUAUUUUGUAUUAUUUAAGCCGGCUUUACACGAUUACACAAGUUAUAUGAUCUGUCAAAAUUUUGUGUAGAAGAGUACGGAUGGGAUCGCCUAAACGCAAUAUGUAAUAAAACCAUCACACAUUGAGAGAGAAUACGGAUUAUUUCUAGGAGCUAAUAGUCAUGAGUGGGACACAAACAGCAUGUUAUAGUAGUUUGAAAUUACAUUUUUUGUACAAAGAAGUACAUCAGAUUAUUAAAGUAUAAGAUAGAAUAGGUCUAAUCGCACUCUAUAAAGCUAUGGUUGGACUAAGGUCUCAUUUCGUACCACUUAUACCCAAACAGCAUGUUGGUAGUAGUUUGAAAUUACACUAAGGUCCCGUUUCGUACCUAUGGUUCUCCUACAUAUAGUCAUGUCGAAAAAAAGUCAAAAAG